rnacentral:rRNA from 1 species
AUACGGAGGGUGCAAGCGUUGUUCGGAAUCACUGGGCGUAAAGGGCGCGCAGGCGGUUUGGUAAGUCAGAUGUGAAAGCCCACGGCUCAACCGUGGAAGUGCAUUUGAAACUGUCAGACUUGAGUACUAGAGGGGAAAGUGGAAUUCCCGGUGUAGAGGUGAAAUUCGUAGAUAUUGGGUAGAACACCGGUGGCGAAGGCGGCUCCCUGAACCGAUACUGACGCUGAGGUGCGAAAGCGUGGGUAGCAAACAGGAUUAGAAACCCCGGUAGUCC